rnacentral:rRNA from 1 species
AGAUUGAACGCUGGCGGCAUGCCUAACACAUGCAAGUCGAACGGGAGUAGCAAUACUCUAGUGGCGGACGGGUGAGGAAUACGUAGGAAUUUGCCCUUAAGUGGGGGAUAACCCGGGGAAACCCGGAUUAAUACCGCAUGACCUCGAAAGAGCAAAGUGGGGGAUCGCAAGGCCUCACGCUUUUGGAGAAGCCUACGUCGGAUUAGCUAGUUGGUGAGGUAAUGGCUCACCAAGGCGACGAUCCGUAACUGGUCUGAGAGGAUGAUCAGUCACACCGGAACUGAGACACGGUCCGGACUCCUACGGGAGGCAGCAGUGGGGAAUAUUGGACAAUGGGCGCAAGCCUGAUCCAGCAA